rnacentral:rRNA from 1 species
GACGUAGGGGGCAAGCGUUGUCCGGAAUGACUGGGCGUAAAGGGCGUGUAGGCGGCGCGGCACGUGGUGAUUGUAAGCCGUCGGCUCAGCCGGCGGACGGUUGCCAAACGGCCGGGCUGGAGGGCAGGAGAGGUGCGGGGAAUUCCUGGUGGAGCGGUGAAAUGCGUAGAGAUCAGGAAGAACACCGGUGGCGAAGGCGCCGCACUGGCCUGGCCCUGACGCUGAGGCGCGACAGCGUGGGGAGCGAACGGG